GGAUCAAUUGAUUGGUCAUGCCUUGGUAUGUACUGUUCACAUUGGUUCUCACCUUCUAAUGAACCAUAAUGUCAUUUAUUUGAUGCUAUGGGGAAUUAGGACUGUUACCUUGAAAAAAUUAGAGUGUUUAAAGCAAGUGAAUAACAGCCUGAAUACAUUAGCAUGGAAUAAUAGAAUAGG
rnacentral:rRNA from 1 species